rnacentral:rRNA from 1 species
GUCCACGCCCUAAACUAUGACGACUAGUUGUUGGGGAUUUAACAUCCUUAGUAACGAAGCUAACGCGUGAAGUCGUCCGCCUGGGGAGUACGGUCGCAAGAUUAAAACUCAAAGGAAUUGACGGGGGCCCGCACAAGCGGUGGAUGAUGUGGUUUAAUUCGAUGCAACGCGAAAAACCUUACCUACCCUUGACAUGUCCGGAAUCCUGCAGAGAUGCGGGGGUGCCCGAAAGGGAGCCGGAACACAGGUGCUGCAUGGCUGUCGU